GCAAACGCGGCCGGCGCCUUUACAAGCGACGGCCGUCUACCCACCCUUGUGCAACAUAACGUUUCUGGCGGUACCCGCGAGGGGCCGCCGAGGGUUCUAGGGGCCUCGCGCCUUCUGGUUCCCGUUACCAACCCGUCUCAGCAUGGACUGAACCUAAGAAAUCUAAUGUUAA
rnacentral:misc_RNA from 1 species